UACGGAGGAUCCAAGCGUUAUCCGGAUUUAUUGGGUUUAAAGGGUGCGUAGGCGGCUUAUUAAGUCAGGGGUGAAAGACGGUGGCUCAACCAUCGCAGUGCCCUUGAUACUGAUGAGCUUGAAUACAUUAGAGGUAGGCGGAAUGUGACAAGUAGCGGUGAAAUGCAUAGAUAUGUCACAGAACACCGAUUGCGAAGGCAGCUCUCUGGGACGGUACUGACGCUGAGACGCGAAAGCGUGGGGAGCAAACAGG
rnacentral:rRNA from 1 species